rnacentral:rRNA from 1 species
CGCGUAGGCGGAUUGACAAGUUGGGGGUGAAAGCCCGGGGCUCAACCUCGGAAUUGCCCUCAAAACUGUUGAUCUGGAGUAUGGUAGAGGUAAGUGGAAUUCCGAGUGUAGAGGUGAAAUUCGUAGAUAUUCGGAGGAACACCAGUGGCGAAGGCGACUUACUGGACCAUUACUGACGCUGAGGCGCGAAAGCGUGGGUAGCAAACA